rnacentral:lncRNA from 1 species
AUGGAAGUACUGAUAUGGAGGUGGAGGAGAUUCAAGCCCAAGCCUAUAAGUUCCCAUGAAUGGGAAAUGGCAGCAGCAGAGCCACUAACCCAGUUGCCAACGACGAAAGGCGUUGAAAUACUUGAAGCCAGAUGGGGAAGAAGACCUCCUCUGCCCAAAAACAGAGCAUAACGCAAAGGAGCCCAUGAAGCUGACUUUGAGCCCAUCUCAAGUUCAAACCAAGGCUGAGCCAUGGUUGUUCAAACCAAAACCUACCAGUGUCUUCCCUGUGAAGAAGAGGUUAGUGAAGAGGAUAAUGUUUGAUCAAAUUGUCCAAUGCUUUUGCUCUGUUUCAGAUUAUACUAAUAGUCCUCAGCUUCUGUUGCUGGAGCCUCUGAAACCAUCACAUCAUCAAACGCCAACAAGGUCAUUAGCAACCACGUUUACCCAAGCCCACCACCACAGAUAUGGAAUGAUUUUCUGUUUCUGUUUCUGUUUCUGUUUCUGCUACUGCAGUAUUUCUGUUUUCUGUUUUUAA